GAUUAACGCUAGCGGCAGGCCUAAUACAUGCAAGUCGAACGGGAUUCAAAGUAGCAAUAUUUUGAUGAGAGUGGCGCACGGGUGAGUAACACGUAUGCAAUUUACCUUUAACUGGGGAUAGCCCUCCGAAAGGAGGAUUAAUACCGCAUAAUAUAUUGAAAUGGCAUCAUUUUAAUAUUAAAACCUACGGGGUUAAAGAUGAGCAUGCAUCCGAUUAGCUAGUUGGUGUGGUAACGGCUCACCAAGGCAACGAUCGGUAGGGGUCUGAGAGGAUGAUCCCCCACACUGGUACUGAGACACGGACCAGACUCCUACGGGAGGCAGCAGUAAGGAAUAUUGGACAAUGGAGGCAACUCUGAUCCAGCCAUGCCCGCGUGAAGGA
rnacentral:rRNA from 1 species